CCUACGGGCGGCAGCAGUGGGGAAUAUUGGACAAUGGGGGGAACCCUGAUCCAGCGACGCCGCGUGAGUGAAGAAGUAUUUCGGUAUGUAAAGCUCUAUCAGCAGGGAAGAAAGACAUGACGGUCCCUGACUAAGACGCCCCGGCUAACUACGUGCCAGCAGCCGCGGGAAUACGUAGGGGGCAAGCGUUAUCCGGAUUUACUGGGUGUAAAGGGAGCGUAGACGGCGAUGCAAGUCUGAAGUGAAAGGCGGGGGCCCAACCCCCGGACUGCUUUGGAAACUGUAUGGCUGGAGUGCAGGAGAGGUAAGUGGAAUUCCGAGUGUAGCGGUGAAAUGCGUAGAUAGUAGGAGGAACACCAGUGGCGAAGGCGGCUUACUGGACUGUAACUGACGUUGAGGCUCGAAAGCGUGGGGAGCAAACAGGAUUAGAUACCCUAGUAGUC
rnacentral:rRNA from 1 species